rnacentral:rRNA from 1 species
GACGAACGCUGGCGGCGUGCUUAACACAUGCAAGUCGAACGGAAAGGCCCUGCUUUUGUGGGGUGCUCGAGUGGCGAACGGGUGAGUAACACGUGAGUAACCUGCCCUUGACUUUGGGAUAACUUCAGGAAACUGGGGCUAAUACCGGAUAGGAGCUCCUGCUGCAUGGUGGGGGUUGGAAAGUUUCGGCGGUUGGGGAUGGACUCGCGGCUUAUCAGCUUGUUGGUGGGGUAGUGGCUUACCAAGGCUUUGACGGGUAGCCGGCCUGAGAGGGUGACCGGCCACAUUGGGACUGAGAGACGGCCCAGACUCCUACGGGAGGCAGCAGUGGGGAGUAUUGCACAAUGGGCGGGAGCCUGAUGCAGCAACGCCGCGUGCGGGAUGACGGCCUUCGGGGUGUAAACCGCUUUCGCCUGUGACGAAGCGGGAGUGACGGUAAUGGGUAAAGAAGCACCGGCUAACUACGUG